GCAAUCUAGCUUGUUGUUCGCGAGCCGGCUAGUGUUCGGCUCAAAAUGAGCUCGAGAUCGAAUCGUUCGUUUAGUAAACGAGCCGAACACGAGCUGAAUUUUUUAGCUCGUGCCGAACAUGAGCUUGGGUCAACUCGCUCGUCUUCGGCUUGAUAAUAGCUGAAAAACAUAUAUUUUAUAUUUAUAUAAUUUAUAUUUAUAUAUAUAUAUAUGUAAUUAUAUAUAUAAUAUAUAUUUUUAUUAUUUGAUUUUUAGCAAAAUCAAAAUAUAAAGCCAAACUCGAUUAUAAAAUGACUUAUUUAUAUGUAAAGUUUCAACUAUUAGAUAAAAUCUAAUGAGUAAGAUUUUAUAAAUAUAUUUUUUAUAUUAUAUCCAAUU
rnacentral:lncRNA from 1 species